rnacentral:rRNA from 1 species
UGGGGAAUAUUGGACAAUGGGGGCAACCCUGAUCCAGCAAUGCCGCGUGUGUGAAGAAGGCCUGCGGGUUGUAAAGCACUUUCAGUGGGGAAGAAAAGUUCAGGGUUAAUACCCCUGAGUCUUGACGUUACCCAAAGAAGAAGCACCGGCUAACUCCGUGCCAGCAGCCGCGGUAAUACGGAGGGUGCGAGCGUUAAUCGGAAUUACUGGGCGUAAAGCGCACGCAGGCGGUUAGGUAAGUCGGAUGUGA